CAGUAGCCACGGUAAUACGGAGGGGGCUAGCGUUGUUCGGAAUUACGGGGCGUAAAGCGCACGUAGGCGGUUUCUCAAGUCAGAGGUGAAAGCCCGGAGCUCAACUUCGGAAUAGCCUUUGAAACUAGGAGACUUGAACGUCGGAGAGGUGAGUGGAAUUCCGAGUGUAGAGGUGAAAUUCGUAGAUAUUCGGAAGAACACCAGUGGCGAAGGCGGCUCACUGGACGACUGUUGACGCUGAGGUGCGAAAGCGUGGGGAGCAAACAGGAUUAGAUACCCCCGUAGUCCCUGUCUCUUAUAC
rnacentral:rRNA from 1 species